rnacentral:lncRNA from 1 species
ACCACACCCUAACUAUUUGGAUGACUAUGUUGUCCCGUGCUUCCUUGACUUGGACCAGUUUAAUUGUGUGGUUAAACUGAACUCAGAAAAAAAAAGGUACAGAAAAUAAAUAAAACAUCUGAUUGAAUAACUCUGGUGAAUGGGAGGAUCGGAAAUGCUAGAUGACUUGACCGAUUUCGAAGGUAGCAAAAUGGCCGGUCGUGAUAUGCUACAUGUACCGUACGUAAUAUGAACUAUAGUCCCUAUCUAGGAAAAUGAGGCGUUUUUGUUGGCGUCUGCUAUGUCUAUG